rnacentral:rRNA from 1 species
CCUACGGGAGGCAGCAGUGGGGAAUCUUGCGCAAUGGGCGGAAGCCUGACGCAGCAACGCCGCGUGCGGGAAGAAGGCCUUAGGGUCGUAAACCGCUUUCAGGGGGGACGAAGCUUCCGGGGUUAAUAGCCUACGGGGUGACGGUACUCCCAAAAGAAGGUCCGGCUAACUACGUGCCAGCAGCCGCGGUAAUACGUAGGGACCGAGCGUUGUCCGGAAUCAUUGGGCGUAAAGAGCGUGUAGGCGGCUUGGUAGGUCUCGUGUGAAAUCCCGCGGCUCAACCGCGGAUCCGCACGGGAAACCCCUAAGCUCGAGUCCGGAAGAGGAGAGUGGAAUUCCUGGUGUAGCGGUGAAAUGCGCAGAUAUCAGGAAGAACACCCGUAGCGAAGGCGGCUCUCUGGGACGGUACUGACGCUGAGACGCGAAAGCGUGGGGAGCAAACAGGAUUAGAUACCCUGGUAGUCCACGCCGUAAACGAUGGGCGCUAGGUGUGGGAGGUGUCGACUCCUCCCGUGCCGAAGCUAACGCAUUAAGCGCCCGCCUGGGGAGACGCGCGAGACGAAACGUAAAGAAGUAGAGCGNGNGAGUGCGAGCGACGACGAGGGAGAGG